rnacentral:rRNA from 1 species
UACGAAGGGUGCAAACGUUGCUCGGAAUCAUUGGGCGUAAAGCGCACGUAGGCGGCUCCAAAAGUCGGAUGUGAAAUCCCUGGGCUCAACCGAGGAAGUGCAUCCGAAACUGCGGAGCUUGAGUAUGGAAGAGGGUCGCGGAAUUCCCGGUGUAGGGGUGAAAUUCGUAGAUAUCGGGAGGAACACCAGUGGCGAAGGCGGCGACCUGGGCCAAUACUGACGUUGAGGUGCGAAAGCGUGGGGAGCAAACAGG